rnacentral:rRNA from 1 species
GAGUUUGAUCCUGGCUCAGGAUGAACGCUGGCGGCGUGCCUAAUACAUGCAAGUCGAGCGAACAGACGAGGAGCUUGCUCCUCUGACGUUAGCGGCGGACGGGUGAGUAACACGUGGAUAACCUACCUAUAAGACUGGGAUAACUUCGGGAAACCGGAGCUAAUACCGAAUAAUAUAUUGAACCGCAUGGUUCAAUAGUGAAAAACGGUUUUGCUGUCACUUAUAGAUGGAUCCGCGCCGCAUUAGCUAGUUGGUAGGGUAACGGCUUACCAAGGCGACGAUGCGUAGCCGACCUGAGAGGGUGAUCGGCCACACUGGAACUGAGACACGGUCCAGACUCCUACGGGAGGCAGCAGUAGGGAAUCUUCCGCAAUGGGCGAAAGCCUGACGGAGCAACGCCGCGUGAGUGAUGAAGGUCUUCGGAUCGUAAAACUCUGUUAUUAGGGAAGAACAAAUGUGUAGUAACUAUGCACGUCUUGACGGUACCUAAUCAGAAAGCCACGGCUAACCACGUGCCAGCCGCCG